CUCAGACUGCCUUAAUUUGCCUCCUCCUCCACCUUGGCAGAGUUAUCUACCACCUCUGUCCCUUAGGUCUCCAUGUGUAAGAUGGGGAUAAUGACAGUACUAUCACAGAGGGUUAUCUUGAGGAAAAGUGCUUAGCAGAGGAGUUGUCACCAGACAGAGGGAUUAGCAGAUUUUUUUUUUCUACAAAGAAUGAGCUUCCACUUGCUGUUUAUAAAGGUGAGUCCCUUUGUUCUGCUAUACCCAUCUGCCAUGAUGUGCUGCCUUAUCACAGGUUCAGAAACAAGGGAGCCAACUAACCAUGAACUGAAACCUCUGAAAGUGCAAAAAACCCAGCUGGUGUCUUCCAUCACCAGCUUGCAUUGCUGUGAAGUCCUAACCACGUGCUCCUGAGCACCCGCUGCUGCUGCUUCUAGCCCACUUGGAUGCUGAGUGAAAUCUUUGGGGUUGUCUUUGUUCCCAGAAUUCCAAAGUUGAAUUUCUGUUUUUGCUUUGAAUAUACAUAAAAAAUAUCUUUGGAGAUAGGUGAAUUUUUGAACUUGAAAAAUCUGAGAAUGAUUAAAACGAAGGCUGAUGCAUGAAAAUGCACUCCCCAAAGAUAUCUUUAAGUAAUAGUCUUUGAAUUUUUAUAGGGUUUGAAGGAAAUAAAGGAGAUAGAAGCUAUUGUUUAAUCUUUUCUGUACUUAUCCUUCAGAAGUAAUAUUCUAGUUUGUGAGCCCUUAAGAGCCCAAUAAUAGAGGAAAUAUUCUUAAGGCGUAAAUUUUAAAAGAAAAAACUUCUAAAUCCACCUACAUUCUCCAUUGUUCUUUCUUCCAAAGUUUUAUUUAAGUGCAACUUAUUUUUUUGUAGAGUUGAAUUCAUCUCUUAGCUUCUGAGUAUUGCCUACCUACUACAAAUCCUUAACAAGUGAAUUAUCGUCUUUAGCAAAACACAUGAUCAUAAGUCAGAACGCUGAUUUAAAAUUUUUAAUUUUAGUUCAACAAUUGACUGCAGUAUGGUUGUAUUUUCCAAAUAUAGGCUGGUGCCAGUCAUGGUAUGAAGAUGACUUUUUGCAGGGAGGAACAUAAUAACUAUGUUUAAAAGUAAAUGGAUUAUAUAUAGAGAAAGUUCUGUCCUUUUAAAAUUCUUUCCAGUCCUUUCUUUCAGUGUUAGUACUUUUUUCGACCCUUUAACAUUUGUUAAUUUCCCUUUUUUAAAAAUAGAAAACAGACCUUGGGCACAGAGUGCUUUCUUCAUUUCAGCUGGAAUGGCAAUCACAGUACAAUGUUUUUACCUACUUAUU